AGGUCUGUUAGAGCACGUGGAGCGUUAAGAUCCUGACACUGCGGACUAUCGAUGUGUUUAUCGCGGCGUGACUACUGAUGGGUUUAUCGCGGCGUGACUUCUGAUGGGUUUAUCGCGACGUGUUUCACGAGACCCGAAUGUUGUACGCGGGUGGAGAGUCGGCUCACACCUCCUCACAAGUCCUUCUGUGCAGGAUGUCAGGGCCGAUUGGUAAGGGUGUGCUUUUUCUCCCGCCCCAGGCCCCCAGACGGCGCAGAGGACUCGUCUAGGGAGAAAGCACCGGAAGGGUGGCUCAAUGUAUACUCCCAACACCUGCCCAGAAUCUUGAUCCUGCCUCGCGGGUGUUUAUCUCCGCUUCCUCCAGAGUGCUUAUCCUGCGCGUCUGGGAGGUGAUUUCGUAUCUAGGAUAAAUGGGGGUGGGUUGUGGGGUGAGGCACCCUUAUAGUCCACCUUGGUCCAGAGGAAACGAGUCUGAGGGCGAAACGAUCCGUCAGCUCUGGAGGAAACAGGGAAUAGACCAGAAUGGUAGUCAGCUUACUCCUGGACUUAGACACCCAUCUGGUCCCAAGGAGGGUCUUGUCAAAAGCUCGCCUAGUGGUACACCCAACCUGGAGAAGCAAGUUUUAGAAGGGAACCAGCCCAAUCUACAGAGGGAUUUUAAAAGCAGGCUGUAGGGUGAAAGGGCUUUAGGUUGUCAAUUCUUAGGAAAUCUUAGGUAACAGGGCUUUUGAGAUAAUGUGGUCACACAUCUGAAAGGUUCAGCAUCCCAGGCCUGGUGUGGCCAUCAUCGUGGGCACCAUUAUCAGCUCCAGCAUCUUCGUGCCGCCCACCGACGUGCUCAAGGAAGUGGGUUCGCCCGGGUGUGGUGUGGGCUGUGUAAUUUGAGCUGACAGGUGCACUUGGAAAGUUUCAUUAGUCAAGGUCAGUCCAGAAGCCCUAAGAACCCCCCUCCUUUUCACCAGCUGUUUUGUUUUCUGUCCAAAGGGGUCCCCAGGAAGAAGGGGGAGGGGCUUCAUUCAAGAAGAACCUUCAGAUUUGUAAUGAUGCAGAGCCCUGUAUGCUCUGCUAAACAGUCCAGUCUGCCAGGCCUUCCCCACUCCUGAGGCAUGACCAAUAAAGAAAUUCAAACUUCUCCCCAUCUCUGGAUCUACCGCUGCAGCCAAGAAUGCCAGAGCUGCCCCUUAGAAGCCCACGUCAGGGAGGUGUUCAGCCAAGAACUCCAAGGGUCACCGGAGCUACCCCCCCCCCAUCCCCAGUAUGUCAGCCAUUCACAAGCAAUGACAAGCUGGCAUUUCUGUAGCCUGAGCAGUGGGAAGCCACAGAGCUGAAAGGUCCCACCAACUUUAACAUGCCCCAGUACAGAAUGCCUAAACUGAUGGCUUUGGGGAGACUGAGAAACUUGCUUCUCAUUCUUGACAUAGUCCUUUCAGAGGGCUAAACGCAUACCACCAACCCACUGAGACAUCGCUAAGAUUCCAAGGUACAUCGCCCAACUUAAUAGGACACGUGGCAACUCUUGGUAAAUGAGGAAACCAACUUUGCAGUUGUGUAACUUGCCCGCCCAGUAUGCACAGCCUCAUGGCCUCCUACCCCGGGGCAAGCAGCCUGCUCACCUCUCACCUGUGGGUGGCUAACCCUUGCUUCUUUUGGAAUCUGUUCUCAUUCCCAGUGGAAUCUGGGUUCUGCAUCGCAGCCGUGGGGAAGCUUUGAUUUGAGCCAGAGAUAGCAAUAGUCCAAGGAGGUAUAAAAUCACAACCAUAGUUAAGUCAAAGUUACUACCAGAGGCCAAGGAAGGUGGUCAUGGAGGAACACGGCAGGCUCAGAUGGAUUUUCUGGGUCUGGAGUUCAGAGAAAGAAUGAGCAAGGAAAGCAAGAGGGAACCUGAGCUCUGGACAGUUGGGAGGCUUGGUGCCUGGCAAGCUGCUGUGGUGACAAUACCCAGUGAAUGUCCCCAAGACCCACUUGCUCGUGACUUGCUCGUGGCUCCUCUGCUGCUUCUCACAGAGUUAGACUUCUUCCAGCAAAGC
rnacentral:lncRNA from 1 species